UUUACACAAUCAUAUGAAAAGGAAUAUUUCUAAUUGGGAGCUAUAUUUUCUAUUCAGAAUACGUAUGAGACAAAGCUAUCCUAUAUACUAUCAGGACGGGAUCAUAAAGUUUAAAGUGUCUGAAUUAUAUCCACAGGGGCUCUCUCCUCAACCCAUGUCAUCAAUUUAUAGGAAGGUAGAGAAAGCAGAAGACUGAGAACAAACUUAGCUCAUUAACAGUCCUUGGAGUGAGCAAUCUCCAGCCAUUACUAUUAAUGGGAUUACACUUUCCUAUCAACAAAGACAACAAAGCCCUCGCUACUAAAUACAGUUCUUUUAUCUUAAUCACAAGCAGAUUUUCUUUCUGACUGAGUGUUGCUUCCAAGUAUACUUCUUCUCACGGAUGCUGGAACAAUUUGUCCAAAAUCUAGGCAGCAAUGACAUCAUCAAGCAUUGUUGGAAUAAUGUUCUCACUUUUACUUAUACCUCUCGUUGUUCUUUUCUCUUUCUUUGCGUGGAAUGAUCACCAGCGAAACUAAGAUCCAUCUUGCACAUUUAUACCAGAGUUAGAAAGAGAGUAUUUCACUCAACUUACAAAAUUCAACUUAAAUAAUAAUAAAAAUC
rnacentral:lncRNA from 1 species